rfam:Parcubacteria bacterium GW2011_GWA2_42_14 TV01_C0005, whole genome shotgun sequence.
UGGGGGAUCGUCUAACGGUAGGACACUGCCCUUUGGAGGCAGGUAUCGGGGUUCGAAUCCCUGUCCCCCAG